AACGAACGCUGGCGGCAUGCCUAACACAUGCAAGUCGAACGAGACCUUCGGGUCUAGUGGCGCACGGGUGCGUAACGCGUGGGAAUCUGCCCUCUGGUACGGAAUAACUCAGGGAAACUUGAGCUAAUACCGUAUAAUGACUCCGGUCCAAAGAUUUAUCGCCUGAGGAUGAGCCCGCGUCGGAUUAGCUAGUUGGUGAGGUAAAAGCUCACCAAGGCGACGAUCCGUAGCUGGUCUGAGAGGAUGAUCAGCCACACUGGGACUGAGACACGGCCCAGACUCCUACGGGAGGCAGCAGUGAGGAAUAUUGGACGAUGGAGGAAACUCUGAUCCAGCCAUGCCGCGUGAGUGAAGAAGGCCUUCGGGUUGUAAAGCUCUUUUACCCCUGACGAUAAUGACGGUAAGGGGAGAAAAAGCCACGGCUAACUUCGUGCCAGCCGCCGCGGUAAAAC
rnacentral:rRNA from 1 species